UAUUUGAGAUUUGACCUGCCCAAUGAUUGUUUUAAUGGCCGCGGUAUAUUGACCGUGCAAAGGUAGCAUAAUCAUUAGUUUAUUAAUUGUGGACUUGUAUGAAUGGUUGGACGAAAUAUUUACUGUCUCAUAUUGAUUUAUUGAAUUUAAUUUUUUUGUUAGAAAGCUUAAAUUUAUUUGUAGGACGAGAAGACCCUAUAGAUCUUUAUUAUUUGAAUUUUUAUUUUUUUUAGUUUAUUUUUAAAUAAUUUUUAAAAUUUUUUGGUUGGGGUGACAGGGGGAUUUAAUUAACUCUUUUAUAUUAUUUACAAUGAUUUUUGUUUAUUUGAUCUUUUAUUAUUGUUUACUAGAUUAGAUACCUUAGGGAUAACAGCGUAAUUCUAUUUGAGAGUUCAUAUCGACAAUGGAGAUUGCGACCUCGAUGUUGGAUUAAGGAUAUUUUUGGGUGUAGAUGUUCAAAAUUUAGGUCUGUUCGACCUUUAAAUUCUUACGUGAUCUGA
rnacentral:rRNA from 1 species